rnacentral:rRNA from 1 species
UGCAGUCGAGCGGAUGAAGGGAGCUUGCUCCUGGAUUCAGCGGCGGACGGGUGAGUAAUGCCUAGGAAUCUGCCUGGUAGUGGGGGAUAACGUCCGGAAACGGGCGCUAAUACCGCAUACGUCCUGAGGGAGAAAGUGGGGGAUCUUCGGACCUCACGCUAUCAGAUGAGCCUAGGUCGGAUUAGCUAGUUGGUGGGGUAACGGCCUACCAAGGCGACGAUCCGUAACUGGUCUGAGAGGAUGAUCAGUCACACUGGAACUGAGACACGGUCCAGACUCCUACGGGAGGCAGCAGUGGGGAAUAUUGGACAAUGGGCGAAAGCCUGAUCCAGCCAUGCCGCGUGUGUGAAGAAGGUCUUCGGAUUGUAAAGCACUUUAAGUUGGGAGGAAGGGCAGUAAGUUAAUACCUUGCUGUUUUGACGUUACCAACAGAAUAAGCACCGGCUAACUUCGUGCCAGCAGCCGCGGUAAUACGAAGGGUGCAAGCGUUAAUCGGAAUUACUGGGCGUAAAGCGCGCGUAGGUGGUUCAGCAAGUUGGAUGUGAAAUCCCCGGGCUCAACCUGGGAACUGCAUCCAAAACUACUGAGCUAGAGUACGGUAGAGGGUGGUGGAAUUUCCUGUGUAGCGGUGAAAUGCGUAGAUAUAGGAAGGAACACCAGUGGCGAAGGCGACCACCUGCACUGAUACUGACACUGAUG